CAGUAGCCACGGUAAAACGAAGGGUGCAAGCGUUACUCGGAAUUACUGGGCGUAAAGCGUGCGUAGGUGGUGGUUUAAGUCCGUUGUGAAAGCCCUGGGCUCAACCUGGGAAUUGCAGUGGAUACUGGGUCACUAGAGUGUGGUAGAGGAUAGUGGAAUUUCCGGUGUAGCAGUGAAAUGCGUAGAGAUCGGAAGGAACAUCUGUGGCGAAGGCGACUAUCUGGGCCAACACUGACACUGAGGCACGAAAGCGUGGGGAGCAAACAGGAUUAGAGACCCGAGUAGUCCCUGUCUCUUAUAC
rnacentral:rRNA from 1 species